rnacentral:rRNA from 1 species
GACAGAGGGUGCAAACGUUGUUCGGAAUUACUGGGCGUAAAGCGCGUGUAGGCGGCUUUGCAAGUCGGGUGUGAAAGCCCUCGGCUCAACCGAGGAAGUGCGCCCGAAACUGCAGAGCUUGAGUACCGGAGAGGGUAGCGGAAUUCCCCAAGUAGAGGUGAAAUUCGUAGAUAUGGGGAGGAACACCGGUGGCGAAGGCGGCUACCUGGACGGAUACUGACGCUGAGACGCGAAAGCGUGGGUAGCAAACAGG